UACAGAGGUGGCAAGCGUUGUUCGGAAUUACUGGGCGUAAAGGGCGCGUAGGCGGUCCUGUAAGUCCCGUGUGAAAUCCCCCGGCUCAACUGGGGAAUGGCACGGGAGACUGCGGGGCUUGAGUUCGGGAGAGGGAAGCGGAAUUCCGGGUGUAGCGGUGAAAUGCGUAGAUAUCCGGAGGAACACCGGUGGCGAAGGCGGCUUCCUGGACCGACACUGACGCUAAGGCGAGAAAGCUAGGGGAGCAAACGGG
rnacentral:rRNA from 1 species